GGAAAACUUGCAGCUGAAAGUCUGGCUAGCUGUAGAAAUAAGGUAUUUUGGACUUAGGUAGGAACAAACAGCAAAAAAAUGCAUAUAACCUCUCUCCACAGAGAGAUGCUCGGUACUCUGAACCAUUCUUCAGGCAACCACCUCUUAGCUGUGGGUUAUGAAUUAUGUGUGCAAAGGUAAAAUCCUGAUCCUGCACUCAGUGGCAACGAUUAAGAGACCUGAAUUAAAGAGAACUGCUUUGGAAAAAUGGAUAGUCUGUGUCUGCGUACAAGCAUAGAGCAAGACCAGGAGAGCACAUUGCGCAGUGAUGCAGGGACCGGACUGUGCCCGCCACACUGCCCGCUUGCUCCUUCCUACACGAGGCUGCAGAUUCUUCAGUUCAUGCAUCACUCCUGGCUUAGCCAGACGUUCCCUCAGACAGCGGGCUGCAUAAUGCAGUGCUGUUUGGCUGCUGAGGCUCUGGGGCCUAGCUGUCAGCUGGCUUGUGCUAUAACGGGACAACAGCUAACUCAAAGAGGAUGCAGGAAAUAAAGGAAACGUAUGCAUUUUUAAGGAUAUGGAUGACGGGGGAGGAAUCACUGAUAUGCUUGUGAACUUUAGUGAUAUAUUUAGAAGCUUGGAACAAAACUGCUGUUUCACUGAAGUCAAUAAAAAUACUGCCAUUGAAUUCA
rnacentral:lncRNA from 1 species